GACGAACGCUGGCGGCGUGCUUAACACAUGCAAGUCGAACGGAAAGGCCCUGCUUGCAGGGUACUCGAGUGGCGAACGGGUGAGUAACACGUGGGUGAUCUGCCCUGCACUUCGGGAUAAGCCUGGGAAACUGGGUCUAAUACCGGAUAGGAGCCAUUUUUAGUGUGAUGGUUGGAAAGUUUUUUCGGUGUAGGAUGAGCUCGCGGCCUAUCAGCUUGUUGGUGGGGUAAUGGCCUACCAAGGCGGCGACGGGUAGCCGGCCUGAGAGGGUGGACGGCCACAUUGGGACUGAGGUACGGCCCAGACUCCUACGGGAGGCAGCAGGGGGGAAUAUUGCACAAUGGGCGCAAGCCUGAUGCAGCGAGGCCGCGGGGGGGAUGACGGCCUUCGGGUUGUAAACUCCUUUCGCUAGGGACGAAGCUUUUUGUGACGGUACCUAGAUAAGAAGCACCGGCUAACUACGUG
rnacentral:rRNA from 1 species